rnacentral:rRNA from 1 species
UACGUAGGGGGCAAGCGUUGUCCGGAUUUAUUGGGCGUAAAGAGCGUGUAGGCGGCUUUGCAAGUCCGUUGUGAAAACUCGAGCUCAACCUCGAGACGCCGGUGGAAACUGCAAAGCUAGAGUCCGGAAGGGGCAGAGGGAAUUUCCGGUGGAGCGGUGAAAUGCAUUGAGAUCGGAAAGAACACCAACGGCGAAAGCACUCUGCUGGGCCGACACUGACACUGAGAGACGAAAGCUAGGGGAGCAAAUGGG